ensembl:snRNA
AAAAAAGGCUUAUGUUGUGAGUGGCACACACGGGGCAACUCGAUUGCUCAGCGUGCGGAAUCGACAUCAAGAGAUUUCGGAAGCAUAAUUUUUUGGUAUUUGGGAAGCUG